GGAUCCUCGAAAUCGAUCGGUGCUAUACGUGUUCUUUCAAUGGUGUUUCUAAUAGUUGUCGCAUAGAAAGAAGGUGACAGGAAACACCUAUCAGAAGUUCAUAAAAAUUGGUGUUUAUGAAUUUCUACGAGCAGAGAAUUACGUUUUUUUUUCUUUCUUGAAGCAAUUACGUAUUAUGUUUAUCAGGCUGGAAUAUGUUUACAUUGACAAAAAAAUUAAGUGAAUUACUUAUCCCUGUA